rnacentral:rRNA from 1 species
AUGGGCUGCUUCACGCUCUCCGUGCAGCGGUCCCUGCUCCUCCACACCCCGCAGGAGAGAGUCGCGUCGCCCAUGGAGCCGUUCCUCGUGUCGGGCCUCCACGACGCGGUACGGCUCACCAGGUUGAGGCUCGCCGAGGCGACGCUCCCCGGCACGGACUCGCGGGAGUUCUUGAACCGCAUGUUCGACAUCGGGCGUGCCACGGUCGGCUGGUCGUCAACUCGUUCGCCGACAUCGAGCAGAGGUACAUCAAGCACUACGAGAAGACUACCGGGAAGCCAGUGUUCGCCGUCGGGCGGUGCCGAGGCACGCGGCUGA